GAAAUGUUGGGUUAAGUCCCGCAACGAGCGCAACCCUUAUCCUUUGUUGCCAGCGGUCCGGCCGGGAACUCAAAGGAGACUGCCAGUGAUAAACUGGAGGAAGGUGGGGAUGACGUCAAGUCAUCAUGGCCCUUACGACCAGGGCUACACACGUGCUACAAUGGCGCAUACAAAGAGAAGCGACCUCGCGAGAGCAAGCGGACCUCAUAAAGUGCGUCGUAGUCCGGAUUGGAGUCUGCAACUCGACUCCAUGAAGUCGGAAUCGCUAGUAAUCGUGGAUCAGAAUGCCACGGUGAAUACGUUCCCGGGUCUUGUACACACC
rnacentral:rRNA from 1 species